ensembl:snRNA U6 U6 spliceosomal RNA
GUGCUCACUUUGGCAGCACAUAUACUAAAAUUGGAACAAUACAGAGAAGAUUAGCACGGCCGCUGCACAAGGAUGACACGCAAAUUCGUGAAGCGUUCCACAUUUUC